UUGAUCCUGGCUCAGAAUCAACGCUGGCGGCGUGCCUCAGACAUGCAAGUCGAACGAUUAAAGCUCUCUUCGGAGAGUGUAUAGAGUGGCGCACGGGUGUGUAACACGUAAGUAAUCUACCUUUGAGUGGGGAAUAACAGUCGGAAACGUCUGCUAAUACCGCAUAAUGCAGCGGCAUCGCAAGAUGACAGUUGUUAAAUAUUUAUCGCUUGAAGAGGAGCUUGCGGCAGAUUAGCUAGUUGGUAAGGUUAUGGCUUACCAAGGCUACGAUCUGUAACCGGUCUAAGAGGACGGUCGGUUACACUGACACUGAAUAACGGGUCAGACUCCUACGGGAGGCAGCAGUCGGUAAUUUUGGGCAAUGGGCGAAAGCCUGACCCAGCAACGCCGCGUGAAGGAUGAAGUAUUUCGGUAUGUAAACUUCGAAAGAAUGGGAAGAAUCAAUGACGUUACCAUUUAUAAGGUCCGGCUAACUACGUGCCAGCAGCCGCGGUAAUAAUGU
rnacentral:rRNA from 1 species